GGAUGCGAUCAUACCAGCACUAAAGCACCAGAUCCCAUCAGAACUCCGAAGUUAAGCGUGCUUGGGCGAGAGUAGUACUAGGAUGGGUGACCUCCUGGGAAGUCCUCGUGUUGCAUCCCC
rnacentral:rRNA from 1 species